UUUCGAUGAUCGAGACAAGGAUCGAUGAAAGCGUUCAACCAGAAAAUUUAGAGAGGACGGAGAAGACUACACUAGCCUACUGAUUUGAAGCAUAUUUCUACAGAAUAAUGUCCAGAGGAAAUGACGUGCGAGUUUAUGUUGGAAACCUUCCACCAGACAUAAGGGCGAGGGACAUUGAGGAUUUGUUCUACAAGUUUGGAAAAAUUGCCUUUGUCGACCUGAAAACAAGGCGAGGGCCGCCAUUUUGUUUUGUUGAAUUCGAGGACCCCCAUCCAGAAGAUCUGAAUACAGAGUUUUAGUCUCUGGAUUACCACCAUCUGGCAGCUGGCAGGAUCUGAAAGAUCACAUGAGGGAAGCAGGAGAUGUGUGUUAUACAGAUGUCUACAAAGAUGGAACUGGAGUUGUUGAAUUUCUCAGGAAAGAAGACAUGAAACAUGCUGUCAGCAAACUGGAUGACACCAAGUUUAGGUCUCAUGAGGGAGAAGUGUCUUACAUCCGUGUGAAAGAAGAUUACAGAGGAGGCGGAGGAAGGUCAAGGUCCCGCAGCAGAAGUAUCACACCCCCAAGACGAUCCAGGGCAUCCCCCAGAUAUUCACCAGUCAGGGGUCGAUCAAGGUCUAGGUCCAGAUCUUAAAUGUAACAAACAAGUGGUGCAAGGAUCAUAAAGAAAUGAAAGAUGACAAGCAUUGGCAAGCAUUUAAAAAAGACGGUUCAUGGUUUUUGCUCUGUGGGAAAGUUUGGAUCAUUAUGAUGACAAGCUUGGAAAUUUGGGAUGGAUGAAUUGGAUUUAUCAUGUUUGGAUAAUAGGAUACAAACAUGGAUAAUUAGGAUAACUAUCUUGGAUCAAUUGGGAUCAAGGGAUGAGGAUUUGGAUUUUUUCAGUCCCCUCUCAAUAAAAGGAAUCUGGAUGGAUCCUUAGACCCUAACUGGAAUUAUUUUGGAAUUCAUGAAUCCAUCUAUGUAGGCAAAAUAAUCAUCAGGGUUAAGAUUUAACCUCUGUUUUAAAAGAAUUGGCAGUAAAUAACAUUGCUUCAUUGGAUUAUCACAAAUAAUUACCUUAUUAAUGGCAAGUUGUGAAGCAUUAUUAUUUAUGGCCUUUUGAUCACUGAAUGAUCAUUUCUUAAACAUGGAAGGAGUCUUUUGUCAAUGCAGGAUAAAACUGCGAUGAAAUUAUCCGUAGAUGCUUGGGAUUGCUCUUUUCUCAAAGUACGGAUUACAUGUUCUGGAAAGGAUUGUAAACCAGUCAUUUCAGGCUAAGUUCAAUGAAAAAUCGUAAGCAAUUUUAAAAUGAGUAGUUUAGUAUCAGCUUUAAUCCUUUUAGUUUAGGGGAAAAAGUGUCUGAUAAAGAACCCUGGAAAAUGAUUUGUUGAGCUUUGUGCUCAAUGUUACUCAUGAAUAACAUUUUAAAAUGUAUGGUCUUGCUUCACAGGGUUGUCUGUAAUGCAUGACUAGUUAACAUUUUAAGUUGGACUCGAGGUUACUGGUAUUGGAUCGUUGUCUUGAAUUCUAAGGAGGAUUCUAGUUGGAGUUACCCUUUGGAUAGGGAUUUGGUAAGUUGAGGGAGGUUUUGAUCAAUGAUUUUAAGGGGUUGUCCAGCUAUGUGGAGGGAAGGAAGACUAAUAGUAAACUAACUUGAGGUUUAAAUGGCAUUUUUUGUUCCCUUAAAAGUUAACUUCUAUUUGUUUUUACGCAAAAUGUGUGGUUUUAUGAAACGAUUGAUGGAUGUGUGCUAUGAUAAUCAUGUUUCUUUUCAGCAUAAUCAAUAAAACAUCACAAAUACAU
rnacentral:misc_RNA from 1 species